UAGUGUUUUUUCAUCUCGAGAAGCCUCCAUCAACAUCAGUAUCACUCUCUCGUCUUAGCGGACAUCCCCAUCAACAUCUAUCACUCAAGACAAGGAAAGAGCAAGAGUUUGAGAGGACAGGUUGCUGACACAAGUGCGAGAAAUAUUGCUUGAAUAUAAUUUCUGUACAGUUACAGUGCAAGCACAGAAAGAGGCUGCUCCAGACCUGCAAUGCAAGGACAAGUUUAUCCUUCAGUGUGUUAAAACCAAUGAUGGUGCAACUCCAAAAGAGAUUACUCUAGAAGUGGUACUUACAUUACACAAUGUUGUGGAUUCUGAUGUGUAUGGGUUCUUUAUGUCGAAUGCUAUUCAUUUGGGGGAUCAGGGUUGUCUGUAGUUCAAUAAAGAGGCAGGACAUGUUGUUGUGGAGUGCAAAUUGAGAGUGGUGUAUGUUUCUCCACCUCAACCCCUUUCUUCUAUCCCAGAAGAGUCAGAGGAAGGGUCUUCACCAAGAGGUUCAAUUAUGGAGAAUGAAAAUCUUAAUGGUGCUGAGUUUUCCAAUGCUGCAAAAGGAUUUUCGGAGCAGCUUGAAGCUCUGGAGAGAUCCGCAGAGGUGUUCUUCAAAGGUUGAUGAUGCCAUGUAGGGCUGGGAUUUUAGCCCCGAAACCCGACCCGGGACAGGCCCGAGCGGUCCGGGCUUUAAUUUUUUUUACCUGUUUUGCAAGGCCCGGCCCGAAAUAAAUAUAAAACGGUCCGGGCCCGGGCCUAAGAAAUCAAAAAAAAAAAAAAGCCCGAAGGCCCGAGUGUGGGUGCAAUUGACACAUGUUUGUAUAUUAUUGGUAGUGAAAUUCAGGCUUACAAUAUGUGUGCACAGGCGAUUACGAACCCAACUAAAGAGGGUUACCCUAACCUCUCAGUCUCAGCCUCUAUUUGACUCGGCCUCAACGACUCAAUCUCUCUCUCUCUACCGCACCGAUUUGCUUCGACAGUUCGAUCUCUCCGACCCAGUGACCCACUAUUGGUCUGCAAGGAAGGUCUGCGAGGAACGUCUGCUAUCAAUUUUGGUCUGCGACGAAGUUCGAUAGCAUCAAUUUUGGGGUCUGCAAGGAAGCUAUAUGUAGUUCGAAAUACUACUGGAAGAUACUGAAAUCAAGCUGCUGGAGUGCUGGAAGCAUGGAAAUCUGGAGAUCUGUACAUUUGCAGUUUUAAUCCAUUGUUGCUGGCUGUGUUUACUUUUAUCAUUCUAGUGAUUCUACAAUGUUCGGAACUUGUUUAUUAUUUUAUUUGGGAGUUGGGACUGUUUGAUUAUGAACUUGUUUAUUUGGAACUUGAAAGAUUUGAAUUUGGAAUUUGUUAUGUUGGAAUUUGG